UACAGAGGUCCCAAGCGUUGUUCGGAUUCAUUGGGCGUAAAGGGUGCGUAGGCGGCGCGGUAAGUCGGGUGUGAAAUCUCGGAGCUUAACUCCGAAACUGCAUUCGAUACUGCCGUGCUUGAGGACUGGAGAGGAGACUGGAAUUUACGGUGUAGCGGUGAAAUGCGUAGAUAUCUGGAGGAACACCGGUGGCGAAGGCGGCAUCCUGGACCGAUAUUGACGCUGAUGCGCGAAAGCCAGGGGAGCAAACGGG
rnacentral:rRNA from 1 species